UUAAUGAAAUGUCAUGAGCAUGUAAAACAUAUAAAAAUAUAAUAGGCAUAUUAUAAAAUAAUUUAUGUAUAAAAUAUGCAAAAUUGUAAAGUGAGAAAAUGUUACAAGUACAUGAGUGAUCCAUCAUAAAAUGUGUAACAGCAAGCAAUAAUUGUACUCUAAGUUUUGCUAGAUUUUAAUUACUUUAACUUUGAUCCCACACUGGUUUUAUGAGAUAUGAGAGAUUGGCUACUGUGUGUGAGGUCAAGAUCCAGGUCAGAGUCAAUUAAUGUCUUGAGAGCACAAGAAUUCAGUCUGUGUCUAGCACAAUGUUUACUGGGUUUUCUAUAAAUAUUUGGUCUAAGUACAAAGGAUUGAAGAUUUGGGAUGAGCACAGAGAAAGAUGAGUUAACAUUUCUGGGGAUAAUAAACGCACAAAUUCUUCAGUGAGGAAACUUCCAUACUUAUAUAAGUAUUUUCUCAUCUGAUCACUUGUUUUGUUAGAGUGAAAUGGCAGUAGUAAUACAUCCCAGUUUCCUCUGAUAUCUUUGCUGUGAAGUCAGUUGGCAGAAUUUGAUUAAGAAUGUGGGCUCCAGAUCAUUACUGCUUGAAUUUUCUCUCAACCUACCACUUACUAACUUUGAUAAUUUGGACAAUUUACUUCUUUGCAAUUCAGUUUCCUCAUCUGCAAUAUUGGGAUAAUAGUACCUGCCUCAUAGUUCUGUCAUGAGGAUAAAAGGUGUUUGUGAGUUAAUGUGUGUGAAGUGCUUAACAGUGUGUGGGCUUUCAGUAGUAAGUGCUAAAAAAUAUUGAUUACUUCUGAAAGUCCAAGCAUGCUGAUGACCAAUCAAAGAUGACUUUACUGAUGAAAAUAGGGAAUCUUGAAUUGUCAAAAUGUACAAUAUUCCUUGAGAACCAUUAUUAAAUAUCUAAGGAUGAUUAGGAGAAAUAAAGACUUUGCUCUCAUUUAAUGGGAUCUAGUCAUUGUCAUUUUGUUUAUUAUAGGGCAUGAGAUGAAGACGGAGUGGUAAAGCAGAGGUGGCUUGCUGUUCAGAUGAUCAAGGCUGUCCUUCACGACCAAGUCGUUGAGUCCCCUGAAAUCAAGUGACAAAAUAUAUAUUUUUUGAGAGUCAAUAUUGUGAAUUAUUAUCUGGAAUAAACAUCUUUAAGAGUA